UCCGAGUGGUGUAGUGGCUAACAUUGUCGCCUCUCAUAUUUAUCUGGGGAUAUCCUUUUCGCGACAGCCCGGGGCUCGAUUCCCCGUCUCGGAA